GCGUGAGCUACGCAGAAGACGGGUGAUUUCUGCAUUUCCAUCUGAGAGGACAGGUGACCGCAAAGCAGAAGUGAUGAAGAGCCAGUCACCAUGGCCACAUCUUGAGGUCACACAGUCAGCAGUUCGCUUUGCUCACUCAGUCCUAUAAAAACAGCAAGGUGGCCAGUGGGCUAGUGUGAAAUAAUUAAGAGGACAAUUCAUAGAAAAUGGAAAUGGAAAGACAGCAGGAGGGCAGACCAAACAGUAUCUCCUGGACCCGUUAAAGGCUUUGGAUUUUACACUGGAGAAAUGGAAAGCCUGCGACUAACUGAAAAAGUUACACAGCUGACACUGCUGCUUAAAGAAACCAGAUGGCGCCAGAGCUUCUUGACCCCUGACCAGAUGCCAGAGGAAGAUAAGACACCAUAAAACCAGCGCAAAUGGGAACUGGCAAACCC